UAGAAUCCAAGGAAGUUGACAUGUCAUCACUUCAUUUUUUUGCACCUGCGCAUAAAUCUGAGAAACAAACCACAUUUGUUCCGGACCUGGGAUGGCUUCCGGACCUGGGAUGCCUGCCUUCUGAUGGAGAUAAUCAAAGUCACCAGAUCUCAACCCAGUUGAACUGUUUCUGGAGCGGUGCCUGAGACAGCAUUUUCCACCACCAUCAACAAAACAUCAAAUUAUGGAAUUUCACGUAGAAGAAUGGUGUCUCAUCCCUCCAAUAGAGUUCUAGACAUUCCAAGGCUGAACAUGAUUGGUGAGCUUACGAGCAGAGAAGAGUGAAAGGGAGAACUCUGACAGGCUACAUUGUCUUACGCCAGAUAGCGCAACAAUUCCACCUGCAUGGAUCUGUCUCAUAUCUCGCGAAGACUCAUGGAAUUGAUCAAAAGUAGUUGGGCUACAAUGUGCUUUCUAACACUCAACAAUAUUACCUAGGUGACAUCCCUUAAUGAACCCCAUCUCAUCCUCAAAACAGGCUGAGUUCAUCUAAACUAGAGCAGUUCAUCUGUUAAUAAUGUUGAUGUGUUUUUGGUGAGGAAGUCUUAGUCGCAGCGUUUUACAUCUAGCUAAGGGGUUUUGUGUAUCAAGGCGCAGUAUUUCUGAAGUUUGAUAAUAUGCACGAAAGGUAGCUUAAAUUUGUCCAACAUUAGUUUGCUAGCUGAUCCAGUCACACGGAGCCAGUCACACUACCUAGUGCUGCACACAAAAUGCUGAAUGCUUCCACCAAUCAGUUGAGGGAUGAGCUUCGGGUAGGAGUGACGUCAUCUGACAUAAGUCGAUGGAUAGGCAACACCGACAGGAUCACCAGGGGACUGGCUGCCACUGUGACUCUGUGACAACCUUAUCCAGAUGAGAGGACCUGAGCCCUAGGACCAUGCCUCAGGACUACCUGGCAUGAUGACUCAUUGCUCUUCCCAGUCCACCUGGCUGCUCCAGUUUCAACUGUUCUGCCUGCGGCUAUGGAACCCUGACCUGUUCACCGGACGUACUUGUUGCACCCUCGACAACUACUAUGAUUAUUAUUAUUUGACCAUGCUGGUUAUUUAUGAACAUUUUAACAUCUUGACCAUGUUCUGUUAUAAUAUCCACCCGGCACAGCCAGAAGAGGACUGGCCACCCCUCAUAGCCUGGUUCCUCUCUAGGUUUCUUCCUAGGUUUUUGGCCUUUCUAGGGAGUUUUUCCUAGCCACCGUGCUUCUUUCACAUGCAUUGCUUGCUGUUUGGGGUUUUAGGCUGGGUUUCUGUACAGCACUUUGAGAUAUCAGCUGAUGUACGAAGGGCUAUAUAAAUACAUUUGAUUUGAUUUAGUGAAUGCGUACAUUCCUUGCAUUUUUUUUUUUGUACUGGCCCCCCGUGGGAAUUGAACCCACAACCCUGGCGUUGCACACACCAUGCUGGCAUUGCAAACAACAUUCUCUACCAACUGAGCUACAGGGAAGACCAUGUCACUGAUGGAGUGCUGAGGUUUAGAGGGUCUACACUAGAAGUUCAUGGUUAUAGGAGGAAGGUAUAUAGUGUGUGCAAUUAAGCUUGGAAUGUGCUGAGUGCAGGGAAGCAAUUGCAUGUGGCAGGCAUUGAUAAGAGGAGAGAGCCAUGGAUUAGUGAUUGAGGGGGGUUGAGGUCAGGUCAGGUCACCUUAAGGGAGAAAUAAAAGUUUAUGGCCCGUAUCACUGGUGUCCUGCCUAGCAGUAAACAACGAUGUUUGCACAGAUGGGUAGGAGGAGACUCAGUCAAUGAGGAAUGGUUAAAUAUCAGUGCUUGUGUGAAAAUGUUUUUGUCUAAUACAGCUGUAUUGAUCCUCUUGUUAAGCUUUCAUAAUGUCUGUUGAGUUUUUACUCUGAGAAUUAGAACCUAACAACGCGAAUGAAUAAUCUAUCUUCGAUGUCAAGCUUUCACUUUCUCAGAAAAAACAGGAUUCAUGUGAAAACAACACGACAGAACACACACCUUCCUUACACACCGCCCAGAAGUGGGAAACUAACCGAAUACAGAUUAAAGCACAAGUUGCUCUUUAACAUAAACUACAGAGGGGACCUGAUGACACAAACACGCUGGGUUUGGGAAUGACUUGAGCACGUGUGCAUCAGUCAUGGCAUUUUUAUACUGCCAUCACAUUGGGUGUACUGUAGUUAGUAGGACAGCAUCACUGAGAGAUAGUCAGAUUGAUUUUUCAAAAGGCUGCAGUGGUCUUUGAUAUUGAGUAUGGCAUGGAACCGAGGCAGCAGCAGCGAUACCGUUAACACUACCUUUCCGAAUAACAGGGAAAAAUAACACCAUAUCCUUGUUUACUGAGAAGACUGGAGAAGUAUCAAGGGUGUCGUGUGUAUACAGCGUUCACCUUCAAAGAUCAGUCUGGACGUUGCGUGCUUUCAGAGUUCAGAAAGGAAACACCACGUGCACAAUUAACCAUUUAUUAGAAAAGAUUACAUUAGUCUUGGAGUUAGACUCUGCUCCUUCAGGGUAGCUUACUGACAGAG
rnacentral:lncRNA from 1 species